rnacentral:rRNA from 1 species
UACGGAGGGGGCGAGUGUUGUUCGGAAUUACUGGGCGUAAAGGGCGCGCAGGCGGCUUGGCAAGUCGAGUGUGAAAUCCCUUGGCUUAACUAAGGAAUGGCGCUCGAAAUUACCUCGCUAGAGGGCGGGAGAGGGAAGUGGAACUCUCGGUGUAGCGGUGAAAUGCGUAGAUAUCGAGAGGAACACCUGCGGCGAAGGCGGGUAGCUGGGCCGACACUGACGCUGAGGCGCGAAAGCCAGGGGAGCGAACGGG